GCUGUUGUAAUGGUUCUUAUUAGUUUAAUCAGUUUGCCUAGUUGAGUUGUUAGUUUGACAGAACCGAGUUUUAUUAUGUGUAUAUUUACAUAGUUUAUUUGUUUUCUGCUAAUUUUUUUGGCAGUAAGGCAAUUUUAUUAUGUGCAUAUUUACCUAGUUUUGUAAGCUACAACUUGGAUUGUCACUGCAAAUGAGCAAGAGAAAGGAGAAAAAGAGGAGCAAUUGCCAUUAGGGUUAGACAGUGACCAUUCCUUUAUGGAAUUUGUCUCAUCAGGAACAUGCAAUGAUUUUGACUGCCAUGAGUCUUUUGAGGGGCGCCUUACUGCUACCCUACCACAUUCUCCCACACAACAAAAACAUUCAAAAUAUCAAUAGAAUCCUUCAAUCACUAAUCAGAGUAAUAUAUGUAUAUACAUACUUUGUCCUGUCUUACAAUUGAAUCCCACCCAGAUGGUAGGGGUUGUGCUAGGGUUAUCAAAGUUAGAAAAUUUACUAUACGGGUAGGAUUUUCCCCUGGAUGGAGAAAUGAAACAAUAUCAACGGAUUUUAGGUAACAGUUGAAAACCUCUGAGAGAAAUAUAUGUGAGGCAAAAAAGAAAAAAGAAAAAAGAAAAAAGAAAAAAAAAAGAGAACAUGAAGACCUGCAUAAAAAUGAUUUCAUCAUGAUGAGAAAGUUAAAUGUCAUACAGGGCAUGAGAGAGUGAGCCAAAGAUUAAAUGGCUUAUAAUCCCCACUCCACAUUACAUGACAAAAUCCCAACUCCCACAUACAGACAAUCCCAUGGCCGGCUAUCCUCACAUGCUACCAAAAUCCAACAGAAGUAGCACCAGCACACCCUUUCCCUUUCCCUUUCCCUCUUCCUUUCCUUUAUAAUUAGCUCUCACACACACUCUCUCUCUCUCUUCUUUUUUCUCUCUGUCGUCCAUCUCUCUUCUUUCUUUUGAUUAUAUUGAGGGGGAUUAGAAUUAGACCCUUUUUGUAGCCAUGAAAAAAGGUUGGUUUUGAAUCAGUAAAUCUCUGUAUGGCAUAUUGCAGCCCCUAUGUUUAGCAACUGGAAAUGGCUGGUAUCCUUUGUUGAAAGAAUGGUCUCUUUUGCCGGAUUUGACUUGAACCAAAGUUGUUCCUUUUGGGGAAGGGAGUUAUUUGUAUACUCCUCUUUGAGCGGUCCCUUUAGGUUUUCCUCUAUUAGAAGAAAAUAAGAUUCUCACAAAAGCUGAACCGUCAAUUUUCUGUGAUUCAUUUGCAGAAUUCUCCCAAACUGUACUAUAAAAUUGGUGGGUUUUUUAUUCACUUUUUCAUCCUUGCUGUGUGGAUCGUUUCCCAAUGACAAGGUACCCACUGUUAGUCUGGUCUUUUUCUAUCUUUC
rnacentral:lncRNA from 1 species